rnacentral:rRNA from 1 species
AGGAUCAUUUGCAAUGGGCGAAAGCCUGACAAUGCGACGCUGCGUGGAGGAUGAAGGCCUUCGGGUUGUAAACUCCUGUCAUAAGGGAAAAGGAGAGGAUACCCAAUACGUAUCCGAUUUGAUGGUACCUUAAGAGGAAGGGACGGCUAACUCUGUGCCAGCAGCCGCGGUAAUACAGAGGUCCCGAGCGUUGUUCGGAUUUACUGGGCGUAAAGGGUGCGUAGGCGGUGGCGCGUGUCGGAUGUGAAAUCUCCGGGCUCAACCCGGAAAGUGCGUCCGAAACUGCAUCACUAGAGUGUGGGACGGGAGAUCGGAAUACAGGGUGUAGCGGUGAAAUGCGUUGAUAUCCUGUAGAACACCGGUGGCGAAGGCGGAUCUCUGGAACACAACUGACGCUCAGGCACGAAAGUCGGGGGAGCAAACA